rnacentral:misc_RNA from 1 species
GAUGAAGAACGCAGUGAAAUGCGAUACGUAAUGUGAAUUGCAGAAUUCAGUGAAUCAUCGAGUCUUUGAACGCACAUUGCGCCCCCUGGUAUUCCGGGGGGCAUGCCUGUCCGAGCGUCAUUGCUGCCCUCAAGCACGGCUUGUGUGUUGGGCCUCCGCCCCCCGGCUCCCGGGGGGCGGGCCCGAAAGGCAGCGGCGGCACCACGUCCGGUCCUCGAGCGUAUGGGGCUUCGUCACCCGCUCCGUAGGCCCGGCCGGCGCCCGCCGGCGACCCCCCUCAAUCUUUCCAGGUUGACCUCGGAUCAGGUAGGGAUACCCGCUGAACUUAAGCAUAUCAAUAAGCGGAGGA